AGUGAACGCUGGCGGUAGGCCUAACACAUGCAAGUCGAACGGCAGCACAGUAAGAGCUUGCUCUUACGGGUGGUGAGUGGCGGACGGGUGAGGAAUACAUCGGAAUCUACUUUUUCGUGGGGGAUAACGUAGGGAAACUUACGCUAAUACCGCAUAUGACCUACGGGUGAAAGCAGGGGAUCUUCGGACCUUGCGCGAUUGAAUGAGCCGAUGUCGGAUUAGCUAGUUGGCGGGGUAAAGGCCCACCAAGGCGACGAUCCGUAGCUGGUCUGAGAGGAUGAUCAGCCACACUGGAACUGAGACACGGUCCAGACUCCUACGGGAGGCAGCAGUGGGGAAUAUUGGACAAUGGGCGCAAGCCUGAUCCAGCCAUACCGCGUGGGUGAAGAAGGCCUUCGGGUUGUAAAGCCCUUUUGUUGGGAAAGAAAAGCAGCAGGUUAAUACCCCGCUGUUCUGACGGUACCCAAAGAAUAAGCACCGGCUAACUUCGUG
rnacentral:rRNA from 1 species